rnacentral:rRNA from 1 species
UACGUAGGGUGCAAGCGUUGUCCGGAAUUAUUGGGCGUAAAGAGCUUGUAGGCGGUUUGUCGCGUCUGCUGUGAAAUUUCGGGGCUCAACCCCGAACUUGCAGUGGGUACGGGCAGACUAGAGUGUGGUAGGGGAGACUGGAAUUCCUAGUGUAGCGGUGAAAUGCGUAGAUAUUGGGAGGAACACCGGUGGCGAAGGCGGCCCUCUGGACCGGUACUGACGCUGAUGCGCGAAAGCGUGGGGAGCAAACGGG